rnacentral:rRNA from 1 species
GGGGAAGGGUAGCUUGCUACCUGACCUAGCGGCGGACGGGUGAGUAAUGCUUAGGAAUCUGCCUAUUAGUGGGGGACAACAUUCCGAAAGGAAUGCUAAUACCGCAUACGCCCUACGGGGGAAAGCAGGGGAUCUUCGGACCUUGCGCUAAUAGAUGAGCCUAAGUCAGAUUAGCUAGUUGGUGGGGUAAAAGCCCUACCAAGGCGACGAUCUGUAGCGGGUUCUUGAAAGGAUGAUCCCGCCCCCCUGGGACUGAAACACCGGCCCCAAACUCCUACCGGAAGGGCAACCAGUGGGGAAAAUUUGCACCAAUUGGGCCAAAA